rnacentral:snRNA from 1 species
GUACUCGCUUCGGUGGUACAUAUACUAAAAUUGAAACGAUACAGAGAAUAUUGGCAUGGCCCCUGCGCAAGGAUGACACGCAAAAUCGUGAAGCGUUCUAUAUUUUU